CAGUCGCCACGGGAAUACAGAGGAUGCAAGCGUUAUCCGGAAUGAUUGGGCGUAAAGCGUGCGCAGGCGGUUCUAUAAGUCAGGCGUGAAAUUCCCGGGCUCAACCUGGGGGCUGCGCUUGAUACUUGGCUGCUUGAGUGGGGAAGAGGGUCGUGGAAUUCCCAGUGUAGAGGUGAAAUUCGUAGAUAUUGGGAGGAACACCAGUGGCGAAGGCGGCUUUCUGGACUGCAACUGACGCUGAGGCUCGAAAGCCAGGGGAGCGAACGGGAUUAGAUACCCCCGUAGUCCCUGUCUCUUAUAA
rnacentral:rRNA from 1 species